UGUGACCUCAAAUCAGGUAGGACUACCCGCUGAACUUAAGCAUAUCAAUAAGCGGAGGAAAAGAAACUAACAAGGAUUCCCCUAGUAACUGCGAGUGAAGCGGGAAAAGCUCAAAUUUAAAAUCUGGCGGUCUUUGGCCGUCCGAGUUGUAAUCUAGAGAAGUGUUAUCCGCGCUGGACCG
rnacentral:rRNA from 2 species